GGUCGCGUUUCGUCGCUUCCGCGCAUGCGCGUGACGUCAUUUUGAGUGCAUGCGUGAGCGGUGAAACCCGGAAGUAACACAGUCCAUUACUUCCGUGUUGCUGCAGAGCGCGACCUGAAAGCCCUCAACCUGAAGCACAUUCAACUCGAGGUAUGAUUGUACUCAGUACUCAGCUUCUCCCUCUUCCAUUCCUCAGCUGCCUCAUGUGAGAGAGAUAAAAGAGGUGGCGCCCACUAAACAUCCCAUAGUUCCUUCUCACCAUGUAUUUUACUUCUGGUACCACAUGAAGUGCUAGAUUCAAUGUAGCUUUGUAGGCAUCACAUGUAGACAAAGCAUGUAGUAAUUUAGAAGAGAUACUUCAUUGUCUGCAAUACAGAAAUGAUAAUGUUGGCCCACUUUGCAGCGCUGUUUUAAGGAUUCCCAAGAAUGUACCAAAGGUACUUUCUUAGGCACUUGGAUCUGCUGUCUGUGGUGCUUUUCGUGUGAGAUGGUACUUGUGAUGUGGAAUAUCAGCUGUCAGUGACAGCGCUUUUGUUAAGAUAGGAGUACUGGUACCUCCUUUUCUCCUUUAACUCCUUUAACUCCAAAAAAGACCACUGGUUGUAUUAAAGCAAAAUAUUUCUUAUAUCGAAUCGUACAGGGCCAAAGCAAUAUGAUUGAUAGCUGUGCCUGUAUGCCAGUGCUUCUGUUGGAAAGUUCUUAGACUUGGAGCAGGAGUGUUGCACCCACUUAAAAACACACAUUUUGAAAACAGUGGAACUACAUAUAAAGCUGUUCUUUGCUGCAUACACUGCAGUCCUGUGCACACUUACUAGGCAGUAAGUCACACGGAGCACACUAGGAGUUUCUACAUAAACACAUGUAGGAUUGCACUGCCCAUAGAUAGAAUUAUUGUGGCUGCUAAAUCCAUGAAAACCCUUUUAUUCAAAGACUGCUUCAUCUAUAAUCAUAGUAUCUGUCUGCAAAAUGAAAAUGAAUGGAGCACAUGGACAUUAAAAUUGCGAUUUUUCCUGGUGAAAAAGGUGAGGGACUGAUCAGCAGAUUCUGUAUUUAUUUCUGGGGAAAGUAGCAAUUUAAAUGGUGCUUUGCCAGUUGAUCCACAAGGGUAUAAAAUGUUUGGCAAGGGACAUCUAAGGCUCCUGAAGCCUGGGGAGCUCCAUGCAGCCCUCCAGGCCUCCCUGGUCUGGCCCUUGGAACUCUCCAUAGGCCCCACCCCUCAUUGGCCUUGCUUCUUAUCCUACUUGAGAGAUUUUGCUGGAUUGGAAUGUAUCCUUAAACCCUUAAACUCUUACAAUGCAUCUUGCAGGGCUGGCUCACCCAUGAGGUAGGCUGUGGCAGCUGCCUCCGGUGGUGGAAGCCCAAGAGACAGUGCUCCUGUGGGCACCCCGCCUAGCCUGGCAGCUUCUGCAACAGUGCUGUCUUCUGGUGAGAUCUCGCAAGAUCUUACUGAAAUAUUGCAGCAGCUCGUGCUCUCCAUGAGAUCUCAUAAGAGCUCAGCUAGACUAUCUGAGAUUUCGCCGAAACCUGCUGUGGCUGCCGCUGUUUGGCAGGUGCUGCUGUGCAAGGUAAGAGAGGGAGUGGGGCAGAGCAAGGUGGCACCUUCCCAUUCUGCCUCAGGCGGUGAAAUGGGAUGCCCCACCCCAGCCUUUUGGUGGGGUGGAUUGAGAAUAGGGAGGUGUGUGUGUAGAAACUAAUGCAGGAAAGUAAGAGUUGCAUGAUUUGCUCUGUCCACUUUUCCCUCUGAUCGCACCCUCCACAGGCAUGUGGUCCAAGGGAGGUUGCACAUAGGUGAUGUGGCCUUUGAGCUGUAGAACAUUCACCACCCUUCCUCUUCAUAGAGACUGUUAUUUGGGUAGCCUACUUCUCCCCCCUUCCCUCUGUAAGUGUGCAUUGGUGAGCAAGCCUCCUGGCUCCUGCAGCAAACGGAGGAGAAAUUGGCAACUUCUUGAUUUCUCGGUGUGUUUUAAGAGAUUAAUUGAAAUGGAUAAUUAAAUCAUCUUGUGCCUUAAGUCAGCAGCUAAUCGAAGCCUAAGAAACCCAGAUUGCAUUCUGCAAAUGCAUGCUCUGGGUGCAAACUCCCUUCCUUUUAAAGGCUAUUGUUGAGUGUGGAUGGCAGUGGAAAUUUCACUCUUGGGACCCACCUGCAUCAUGCCUCCAAAGCAGCAUCAUACCAUUUUAAACAGUCAUGGUUUCCCCCCAAAAUCCUGGUAACAGUAGCUUGUGUGUUGAGGUCCCCAAACCACCCCCAAAUAAAUCACAAUUCACACAGAAUUUUUGUUUAAGGUUUUUGGCAUAAUUUUGGCCACAGCUUUAUUAAAAUACAUAAAUGUGAGUGGUUGCUUAGGCAUUGGUUCCGCCCAGGGGCAGAACUGACUUCCGGAUUCCAGCGAAAGUCAAUAAGGGAAAACAAUAUUGGGGAGAAAAUGGAGCUGGGCACCAGACCCUCACCUCUCCCCGCAUGCUCCCAGGGGCUUGCGGGGCCCUAGCCCUUUGCCAGGGAUUUGGACAAAAGCAUGGUGAGCCCCUGGAUUCCUUUAAUGGAAUUCCCUUGCAGCAGCAGCAUUGGAGGGACAGGCACUGCCAACCACAUCCCCUCCACCAACCAAACCAUAAACCAAUGCCUAACCACAACCUUAGGGACGCGGGUGGCGCUGUGGGUAAAACCUCAGUGCCUAGGACUUGCCGAUCGUAUGGUCGGCGGUUCGAAUCCGUGCGGUGGGGUGAGCUCCUGUCUUUCGGUCCCAGCUCCUGCCCACCUAGGAGUUCGAAAGCACCCCUAAGUGCAAGUAGAUAAAUAGGUACCACUUUAUAGCGGGAAGGUAAACAGUGUUUCUGUGUGCUGCACUGGUGCUGGCUCGCCAGAGCAGCUUUGUCACGCUGGCCACGUGACCCAGAAGUGUCUGCGGACAGCACUGGCUCCUGGCCUCUUAAGUGAGAUGAGCGCACAACCCUAGAGUCGGACACAACUGGCCCGUACGGGCAGGGGUACCUUUACCUUUACCUUUAACCACAACCUUACAAGUUGUGACGAUUUGCCAUGCAGUAGGCAAAAACCAAAUGGUACCAGCCAAUCAGCUAAAUGGACAAAAUUCUUACCAGGCCCCUGCCCCAAAAGCAGACGACCCCAUGACAGGCAUAGCAAGGUCAAACGCAAGAGCCCUAAAUUAGGGUGAUUUGGUGCACGCAGCAAAAGAGAACGCUCAAUGCUGCGUGCCCUGCAUAUAAAACCUUGGUCCAUCCCACAAAUUGGCAACAUCAAAAUUAGUCCAAAUAACCCAAACAGCCCAAUCACUGCCAAUGGCCAUCUAAAUGAUCCCGCCCAGCAACUGAGGGGGUGGCUUGUCAGACCCCACCACAACACGUGCUCUCCAUGAAGGAGAACACGCUUUGUAGUGAGAGUUCAUCAUUACUAUUCAUCAUAAUAAUCAGUUUUAGUAGUAAAAAUUUGAUCUGUAAUUCAUCCUUCAUCCUAAGGUUCUUCUCACAUGCCCCUUAGAAAUCAGAAUGGUACCAGCAAUGUGUUAUUUUAGGUACCUCCUUAAGACUUUUAAAAAUUCAAUCGGUUGACAUUUUCAGGGUGGCAUUGUUGGAUAAAAACAACACCUUUUAUGUCCAGCACAUGUAAUCUCCACUGAGCAUCUGUUUUUCCUUGCUCUUUAGUGCAUAGGAACUGAGAGUGCAACCUUACUCCUUAACAACUGGUAAUCCAUUCCUCCCACUCAUUUGCUGGGUCAGAAUGACAUUUAUAAGGUGAGCUCCCACUCAGAAAAGUUUUUUGACAUGGAGUAGUUGGACACAGAGGAACAGUUGGAGGAACCAGCUGGGGAGCCCCUAAGCAAAGAAGGUUCAGAGGGCAAGACCUCCUGGAGAUGUGCUGCUGUGCACUUUAGGCCUGACACUUCUGUGUCGAUUGUAUUUUUGUUAACAAAGCGUUAACUCCAACUUACACAGUGUGAUUUAUUGCUGGCUCACUCCUGGGAAAGGGGUUAAUGUGUGUGGGGGGAUGGCAGCAGGGUUGAUGGUCAGAGUAAGCAGGGGCUCAUCCUGGUUAGCAGCUGAUGGGCAUUGGAGCCCAAGAAAAUCUGGUGGAUCACAAGAUCGCCACAAUUCUGGUGUCAGGUGUGUUCAUAAGUCUGCCCUGCCCUGUUUCCAUGUCUAUCUUUUUUAAAAAAAAAAAAAACAAACAUUCACAUCAGGCAGUAUACAGUGCUAGUCCUCCUCAGAGUAGGCCCAUUAGAUUUAGUAGAUAUGACUAAUUUAGGUUCAUUAAUUCCAUAUUAUUGUAGAGUUGUAAUUAACCCCUCAAUGCAGAUAUUUCAAUGGGUCUAUUCUGAGUAGGACUUUUCUGAAUGCUAUCCAUGAUUUUUGAAUGUAUUUUUUUCCACAAACUGUCCAUUUUAAAAUGCAUUUAAACCUAAAAUACCGGUUUUCACAUUCAAUUUGAUACACUUUUCAAACCAAUAAUGGUAUCACAAAAUUUGGAGAAGUGGGAAAAACAUAGGAUAACUAUGUCCUGAUUUGUGCUUUAGUCCAGAAUCAAGUUGAUUUAUUUAAAAAUGCAGACUGAACAAAAUCCUCAAGCGUAUCUAGUAGGCAGUCACAGAACAUCCAGAGUUAACACUGACCAUUUUAAUGUCUGCAAGACUCCUAUCUAUUGUUGUUUUCAGUCCACAAGUGAUUCAUAACCAGUGGCAUUUUCUCCCAUUUGCAUUGUGCUUCCUUUGCAUUGGAAUGAAUGGGAUGGAAUAACAGAGUGUCAAUGUAAUUUAUGUAAUUAAUUACAUAAAUUGUAUAAGUUACAUAAUUCCACCCCGAUGGACAGCGAGAGAAAUACCAUUUUCAACGUAAGAUGAUCUGCAGCAUUAUGGAAACAGUGCUGUAUGCAAAGAAUAAAGGCCAUGAGAGAACAAUGAUGCCUUCUUACAUCUCUAGGCACCAUCUUUGAUUUUAUUUUGGCACUUCCUUAAAACAUAAUUAUUUAGCUAUUCAGGUGUAAUUCCAGUUUCCGUUCUUCUUUUCCUAGUGUUCUGCAGAAGUAUUUUUAUUCUUCAUACUUCAGUUUUAAUAUUUAAUAUUAGUUUUACUUUUGUAUGUUGCACAUUUUUAAUAUGUGCAUGGCCUUGAGGCUUUGCUUUGGAAUGAAAAAAAGCAACCACCUUCUGCAUCCAGCUUAUGUGAGCCAUACUGAGCAUCAGCUUGCCCUUGCUCUUUAGCUCAGAUGUACUGAUAUACAGUCAUAUGCUUCGGGUUGCACAAUUUUGGGUUGUGCACUGCGCCGAACCCGGAAGUACCGGAACGGGUUACUUCCAGGUUUCAGUGCUUGCGCAUGCGCAGAAGCGCUAAAUCACUCUUUGUGCAUGUGCAGACACAGCGCUGCAGGUUGUGAACGUGCUUCCCGCAUGGAUCACAUUCGCAACCCAAGCGUCCACUGUAGUACCUGGAUGUUGCUGGGGAUCCUUUUCUUGGUCCUUUGCUGGGUCAAACUGGCAUUUUGAAAGAUCAGCUGGCAUUCAGAAAAGCUUGGCAACCGUUAAUCUCUCCAAACCCAAGGCUUCCUACAACACAGUUUAAACCCCUCUCUCCUAUAGGCUUUCCGCUACCACCUGACUCUGGUUCUUGCUGAGACUGAAUGGACUUGUGUUUUAAAAUCUCAUUAUUUUUCUCAAGGAUGGAAAAAGAUGCCUUUUGACAUAUUAGCUUGCAUGGUAGAUAUGAACACUUAAAGCAGAGGUGCUAUAGUGUGUUGUGCAGAACAGAUAUUAUUUCCCUGAUCAAAUUUUUAAAUAAUUGGUAUUCGGAAAUACCAACUGUGAAAUCUCAUUAACGAGAGUUAGUGGGCAGCAUUCAACUAAGUUUUACUCAGAGCAGAGCAAUUGAAAUGAACGGACACAAUCCAUUAAUUUCAAUAGAUCUACUCUGAGUAAAAUUUAGCAGAGUGGCACCUUUUAUCUCUUGCUUUGUCUACAUUGGCGUUGCUCUGUUGGCCUGCACAAAAAUUUCAAAAUGCCAAAUUAUCUAAGAAGUAUUCUGUUGAUUCCUCAUUGCUCUACCUGUAAUCAUGC